GACGAACGCUGGCGGCGUGCUUAACACAUGCAAGUCGAACGGAAAGGCCCUGCCUUUGUGGGGUGCUCGAGUGGCGAACGGGUGAGUAACACGUGAGUAACCUGCCCUUGACUUUGGGAUAACUUCAGGAAACUGGGGCUAAUACCGGAUAGGAGCUCCUGCUGCAUGGUGGGGGUUGGAAAGUUUCGGCGGUUGGGGAUGGACUCGCGGCUUAUCAGCUUGUUGGUGGGGUAGUGGCUUACCAAGGCUUUGACGGGUAGCCGGCCUGAGAGGGUGACCGGCCACAUUGGGACUGGGAUACGGCCCAGACUCCUACGGGAGGCAGCAGUGGGGAAUAUUGCACGAUGAGCGGAAGCCUGAUGCAGCAACGCCGCGUGCGGGAUGACGGCCUUCGGGUUGUAAACCGCUUUCGCCUGUGACGAAGCGUGAGUGACGGUAAUGGGUAAAGAAGCACCGGCUAACUACGUG
rnacentral:rRNA from 1 species